UACGAAGGUGGCAAGCGUUGUUCGGAUUUACUGGGCGUACAGGGAGCGUAGGCGGUUGGGUAAGCCCUUCGUGAAAUCUCCGGGCCUAACCCGGAAAGUGCGGAGGGGACUGCUCGGCUAGAGGAUGGGAGAGGAGCGCGGAAUUCCCGGUGUAGCGGUGAAAUGCGUAGAGAUCGGGAGGAAGGCCGGUGGCGAAGGCGGCGCUCUGGAACGGCCCUGACACUGAGGCUCGAAAGCGUGGGGAGCAAACAGG
rnacentral:rRNA from 1 species